rnacentral:SRP_RNA from 1 species
UUCGUGAAGGGGAAUAAAUUCCGGA